rnacentral:lncRNA from 1 species
AGCAGUCAUGGCAUAAACAUGUUGAUCCAGGUGAAGGAGAUUGGGUUUACUUAUGCACAAAAGUGAAUACGAAUUCAAAGGGGGUCCAAACUACACCCGAGACAAGACGGACCAUUUCAUGUCAUUACAUUAAUUGGAGAUAAGGGUUAUAAUUUAGGUUCGAAUUCGAGGCCGAAUCCUUUCGAUGAGAGAGGGACUGAUGUGAUUGGG